rnacentral:rRNA from 1 species
GACGAACGCUGGCGGCGUGCCUAAUACAUGCAAGUCGAGCGAAUGGAUGGGAGCUUGCUCCCUGAAAUUAGCGGCGGACGGGUGAGUAACACGUGGGCAACCUGCCUAUAAGACUGGGAUAACUUCGGGAAACCGGAGCUAAUACCGGAUAAUUCAUAUCUACUCAUGUAGAUAUGCUGAAAGACGGUUUGCGCUGUCACUUAUAGAUGGGCCCGCGGCGCAUUAGCUAGUUGGUGAGGUAAUGGCUCACCAAGGCAACGAUGCGUAGCCGACCUGAGAGGGUGAUCGGCCACACUGGGACUGAGACACGGCCCAGACUCCUACGGGAGGCUG